rnacentral:rRNA from 1 species
ACUCAAAUGAAUUGACGGGGACUCGCACAAGCAGAGGAACAUGAGGUUUAAUUCGACGGUAAGCGAAGAACCUUACCAGGGCUUGACAUCUUCGGAACCCCGAUGAAAGUUGGGGGUGCCCGCAAGGGAGCCGAAUGACAGGUGGUGCACGGCCGUCGUCAGUUCGUGUCGUGAGAUGUUCGGUUAAGUCCGCAAACGAACGCAACCCUUGUCCUGUGUUAUUUAAUGUCACAGGAGACUGCCUCGGUUAACGGGGAGGAAGGUGGGGAUGACGUCAGGUCAGCGUGCCUCUUACGCCCUGGGCGACACUCGUGUUACAAUGGGCCAAGCAAAGCGUUGCGAGAUCGUGAGAUUAAGCUAAUCGUUAAACUGGCCCCCAGUUCGGAUUGCAGGCUGCAACUCGCCUGCAUGAAGCCGGAUUUGCUAGUAACCGUGGGUCAGCCACACCACGGUGAAUACGUUCUCGAGUCUUGUACACACCGCCCGU